GAAGGCAAGCGGAUCUCUUAAAGCUGUUCUCAGUUCGGACUGCAGUCUGCAACUCGACUGCACGAAGCUGGAAUCGCUAGUAAUCGCGGAUCAGCACGCCGCGGUGAAUACGUUCCCGGGCCUUGUACACACCGCCCGUCACACCAUGGAAGUCUGCAAUGCCCGAAGCCGGUGGCCUAACGAAAGAGGACGUCGUCGAAGGUGGGAUUGAUGACUGGGGUGAAGUCGUAACAAGGUAGC
rnacentral:rRNA from 1 species